CCGGGCCGGGCGGGCGGG
rnacentral:miRNA from 1 species